rnacentral:rRNA from 1 species
AGUGAACGCUGGCGGUAGGCCUAACACAUGCAAGUCGAACGGCAGCACAGUAAGAGCUUGCUCUUACGGGUGGCGAGUGGCGGACGGGUGAGGAAUACAUCGGAAUCUACUUUUUCGUGGGGGAUAACGUAGGGAAACUUACGCUAAUACCGCAUACGACCUACGGGUGAAAGCAGGGGAUCUUCGGACCUUGCGCGAUUGAAUGAGCCGAUGUCGGAUUUGCUAGUUGGCGGGGUAAAGGCCCACCAAGGCGACGAUCCGUAGCUGGUCUGAGAGGAUGAUCAGCCACACUGGAACUGAGACACGGUCCAGACGCCUACGGGAGGCAGCAGAGUGGAAUAUUGGACAAUGGGCGCAAGCCUGAUCCAGCCAUACCGCGUGGGUGAAGAAGGCCUUCGGGUUGUAAAGCCCUUUUGUUGGGAAAGAAAAGCAGCAGGUUAAUACCCCGCUGUUCUGACGGUACCCAAAGAAUAAGCACCGGCUAACUUCGUG